rnacentral:pre_miRNA from 1 species
UAAAUACUCCUUCCGUCCGGAAAUACUUGUCGCAGAACUGAUCUAUCUAGACGUAUUUUAAUUUGAGAAAGAUCCAUUUCUAUUCAUUUUCGCGACAGGUAAUUUCGGACUGAGGGGUUCCAAU